rnacentral:rRNA from 1 species
AUUGAACGCUGGCGGCAUGCCUUACACAUGCAAGUCGAACGGCAGCGGACCUUCGGGUGCCGGCGAGUGGCGAACGGGUGAGUAAUAUAUCGGAACGUACCUUUCAGUGGGGGAUAACGUAGCGAAAGUUACGCUAAUACCGCAUAUUCUGUGAGCAGGAAAGCAGGGGGAUCGCAAGACCUUGCGCUGAUUGAGCGGCCGAUAUCAGAUUAGCUAGUUGGUGAGGUAAAGGCUCACCAAGGCGACGAUCUGUAGCGGGUCUGAGAGGAUGAUCCGCCACACUGGAACUGAGACACGGUCCAGACUCCUACGGGGAGGCAGCAGUGGGGAAUUUUGGACAAUGGGCGCAAGCCUGAUCCAGCCAUGCCGCGUGAGUGAAGAAGGCCUUCGGGUUGUAAAGCUCUUUCGGCUGGGAAGAAAUCGCACGGGUUAAUACCCUGUGUGGAUGACGGUACCGGAAUAAGAAGCACCGGCUAACUACGUG